ensembl:lncRNA
CCGUGUCCUAUGCCAAAGUUUAGCAGAAAGUUUAGCAAAACAGACUUCUAUGGACACGGGUAAGCCUCGGGCAAGGAGCGAACAACCACUGUAGACACAGAUCUCAGUUAUUUAACGUUAGUUAUUACAGACAGAUCUGGCAUUUCUCCAUCUGGAAAAUACUACUUACAACACAACUGCAAUUAUUUUAUUUUAUAUUUGUCCAAGAUAGCUAGCUGCAAAGCUAGCAAGCUAGUUAAUUUAAGAUAUCUCUAGAUCCAGUUCGCCAGCAGAGCAGCACUCGCCAAAAAGACAGCAAACCAAAAGCUGCCAACAUUGCAGUGGGUGCCAGAUAGACAAUGGUGCAGGAAGGACCACAGAAAAGUGUUUGCUUAACGUAUGACUUCAUAUUGAGUAAAAUGUCAUUUCACUCAAGUUCAUAUUGAGAUUUCGAGUGACUGACAUGAAUUGGAAUGUAAAAA